rnacentral:lncRNA from 1 species
GUUGGAGCAAGCACUGACACUUCCGUCGCUCAAUCUUUCUGCCGAUUUUAAAGCGAUGUUGAAAGUUAUCCAUCCCGAGGUCCUCUCCUUGCUGGCCAAGAAUGUUGAACUGAAGGCCAAAAGUACUCAAUAUCUUCGCGCCGUAUCUGAAAAAGAGUCUUUGCGUCUGGAGAUCAAUAAGGCUGAGGACGAGUUGAAAGAAAUCUCUUUCGAAGUCAUGAUUGAAGACUCUUUGAUGGUUAGUUUGGCUGCUCAGAUGAAGGAACUUCAAGCCAAAAUGGACGACUGCAAGGCGAGAAUGGCUGCUAAAAAGCGCAACGCCUCCCAGGGAAUUGAGCGAACUAAGUCUUUGGUCGAGCAGUACAAGAAGUUGGAAGUUGAUGAUGAUGUCGUGGCCGAAUUGAACAUCACUUCCUCUCGGCAGAACGAGGAUUGGGAGAAACUUAGGGAACGAAUUCGUUCAGUAUGAGGUGGAUUGUAAUUAAGACAUAUGACGC